rnacentral:rRNA from 1 species
UAUGGCUGUCGUCAGCUCGUGUCGUGAGAUGUUGGGUUAAGUCCCGCAACGAGCGCAACCCUUGCCUUUAGUUGCCAGCAUUAAGUUGGGCACUCUAGAGGGACUGCCGAGGAUAACUCGGAGGAAGGUGGGGAUGACGUCAAAUCAUCAUGCCCCUUAUGCUUAGGGCUACACACGUGCUACAAUGGGUGGUACAGAGGGUUGCCAAGCCGCGAGGUGGAGCUAAUCCCUUAAAGCCAUUCUCAGUUCGGAUUGUAGGCUGAAACUCGCCUACAUGAAGCUGGAGUUACUAGUAAUCGCAGAUCAGAAUGCUGCGGUGAAUGCGUUCCCGGGUCUUGUACACACCGCCCGUA